UCAAAUUUCUCUGAAAUCAUCACUCUCUAUGGUCCUUUUUCACGUGUUUCUUCCUCUUCAGUACUGUCUUCUUUCUCUUUCUGUAUCUCACCACCAUCCUCUUAUCUCUCAUUCAUUUCUCUUCUCUCUAUUCCUUCUCUUUCUCUUUCUGUUUGUCAUCCUUCUCUAACGUAUGAUUUUUGCCCUAAUACCAACAAUUUUCAGUUUCAAAUAUGUGAUAUUUGAUAUACCCUAAUCCCAAUAUUUUUUCGGUUACAAAUCUGUGAUAUUUGAUUUGUGUGGGUGCGAUUUUUGGUUUCAGGUGUGUUUCGACGGUUGAAAGCAAGCAUAUGUGUGGCGACCAUGGUUUUAGGUGUGUUCUUACCGUGGAAACGGGCUUGAGACGGUUGUGAUGGUGGUGGUUGAAACGGGAUAGCAACGAUAUGAUUGUAGUUGGCGGUUUCCGUCGACGAGUGUGGUUCUCUAGCAGAUAAAUGUGAAAAGCUUUAUGGUGAAGUGAAAUGGACGGGGGAAAUCACUGUUUGAAAGGUUUAUAAAGGUUUAUAAUUGGUUAUCUGUUUAAAUUUAGGGUUUUCAGAUUGUGAUUAGGGUUUUUGUGUUUAAUGUGAUAAUUUUGUGAUAAUCACAAUACUAAUAUGUGACUUUAGAUGCAACAGUUAUGUUAGCUUUCAUAAGUUGGUCUUUAUGCAGUUAAACAGUUUGAGUCCGAUUCUUUAUAAAGCUUUGAUGAUUUAAGCACGUCAAUCACUGUUUGCAUUAUUUCAAGUUUAGCAAUCCAGUUGAAUCCGAUUGAACAGGGCAAGAUGGACAGUGGAAGCUGCAACCAACCACAUUUUGUUGUGAGUACAAAGGAUAUUAAAUUUGGUAUGAGUUUUUUGAGUUGCUAAAUGCUGUCAAAUAUUUUGGUAUCUUUCGCGAGUUAUUGAAAACUACCAAUAUUGAGUUGGAUAGCUUGAAUGUGUGGAUGAUGCCAUUGGUUUUGCAUAAAAAAUUCCAGCAUUGUGUAAUGAUAGUCCUGCAAAUGAAUAUUUGAGAAAGAACACUAUGGAUGAUAUUGAAUCCUUCUAACAGGGGCUUUUGACAACUUUUGACUAUUUGAAGUGUGUUAAGAUCUCAUUGGGGUCGUCGAUGAAGUUGGAUACAUGUUGACCCAUAUGGGGGGAAAGAAGGUGCAGGUGAAUCUGGUGUUGAGGGAUUUGUGGGACAAUACGUUGAAUUGUACAUUAUGGAAGAGCUAUGCACAACAGUAAUUUGAAUUCAAACCAAAUCUACUUGAUCCGUCAGCCCCUACCGUUAUAUUCUUACAGUAUGCUAAAGUCAAUGAAGAAGGGAAAGACCCCCCUCGCUGUUACAAAUACCUACUACAUAACCAAAUUACAUAUUAACGAGGAUAUCCCAGAGAUAAUAGCUUUUCGUCAACGGAUGAUAUUUUGCCUUUAGUAGCUUCUAUUUUUUUGAGAAGGCUGCUGCUUCCAAUGGUUCAUCAUAAUACUGCUUUGCUUGCAACUCUGGCUAACUAUAACAGGCAUUUGAGUGAAUCGAAUUACAAACAUUAAUUGUAGAUGGACUAAAAAAGGA